CAAAUUGGAGUAUAAUAGAAAUAAUGUGGAAAAAAAAGAAAAAAAAAGAAAAAACCAAAUCAAGGAGGAUUGAAUUUAAUCAUCAUGCAUGCAACACGUGCAAGAAGCUUUGAAUAUUUAGUUGACAAAUAUGGCAAGCACGUGGGGGAGCAUUAAAGAAUUAAUUGGCAAUUUGAAUGAUUCACCUGAUGGGCUUUGGCUUUGCAAAU
rnacentral:lncRNA from 1 species